GCGCGGUCGGCGGUGCUCGGGGAAGCCUCCCGUUGUCUUUCAGGGCCACCCGGGGAGCUCUCCUGGAUUUUACUGCAGAAAGUACGGUAAAGGGCCAUGUGGAGAGAGAAAACAGAAACGAAGGAGGUACUGAGUCACUUGCUCUGAGGGAAGCUGGCUGCCAGGUUAUGAGGGCACUUAAGUAGCCUAAUACAGAGGCCAACACAGUGAGGGACCAGCCAACAGCCAUGUGAGUGACCCAUCUUGGAAGGACAUCACCCAGACUCAGCCAAACCUUUCAGAGACUAAGCCCCUGGCAACAUUUUGACUGCAACCUCUCCAGAGACCCUGGCCAGAACCAUUUAAAGAAGCUGUUCCCAAAUUCUUAACUCACAGAAACUUUGAGACAAUAAAUGUUUGUGGUUUUAAAGAG